UUUUGGGAUUUUUGGGGGAUUUUUGAGGCCUCCGCAACCUGCACAACGACACCGCUGCUGGCGUGGCUGCCAGCGCCCAGGUGAUCGACAUCCUUCGGGGAAAAGCCUCGAGACCCCCCCAGGACCCCCCAAAAUCCCCCCGGGACCCCCCCCACGGCCGCGCCUCGGAGUCCCCGCCCACUUCCGGGUCUGCAGCCAAUGGGGUUCAAGAGGCGGGGCCUCCAACGGGAGCGCAGAGAAGCCCCGCCCACCGUCACACAGCGGACCAAUCAGAAGCGGCGAUGGGGAGGCUCCGCCCGCGCGGGGGGCGGGGCCAGGGGGCGCCGAAGCGGGAGCGGCCUG